GGGGCGAUAGCUCAGUUGGUAAGCGAACCUAGCUCAUUGAAGAUUGAUAACGAUUACUAAAACCCUCAAUAGGGAGAGCGUCAGACUGAAGUUAAACUUCAUUCUAUCAGAUAGAUAUCUGAAGGUCACCGGUUCAAUCCCGGUUCGUCCCA